AGAAACAAAGAAGGGAGAGAAGAUUUUUAGUUAUUUUGGGAAUAACUUCCCAUAAGAGUUAAGAAGGAGCCGUUCUCAAGGGAAUCGCAAGAGGGAGAGAUGGGAGCCCGCUGCUGUGCUGCUGCUGCCGUCUCCAACUCCAUGCAGGGCUGAUCUUCUCACUAGGGCCGGAUGCAGCCCUAAUAAAGGGCCAAGGGUUUUAUAUUUUGAUUUCUAUUCUUGGAGUUGUAUAAACCUUAUUUUGCUUCUAAUGAAUAUUUUAUUUCAUCUCAUAUUU
rnacentral:lncRNA from 1 species